rnacentral:rRNA from 1 species
CCUACGGGAGGCAGCAGUGGGGAAUAUUGCACAAUGGGCGAAACCCUGAUGCAGCGACGCCGCGUGAGUGAAGAAGUACUUCGGUAUGUAAAGCUCUAUCAGCAGGGAAGAAAAUGACGGUACCUGAUUAAGAAGCACCGGCCAACUACGUGCCAGCAGCCGCGGUAAUACGUAGGGGGCAAGCGUCAUCCGGAUUUACUGGGUGUAAAGGGAGAGUAGACGGCAGCUCAAGUCAGAGGUGAAAUGCCGGGGCUUAACCCCGGAACUGCCUUGGAAACUGUGCAACUAGAGUGGAGGAGAGGUGAGUGGAAUUCCUGGGGUAGCGGUGAAAUGCGUAGAUAUUAGGAAGAACACCAGUGGCGAAGGCGGCUUACUGGACUGUAACUGACGUUGAGGCUCGAAAGCGUGGGGAGCAAACAGGAUUAGAUACCCGUGUAGUC